CCAGACUCCUACGGGAGGCAGCAGUGGGGGAUAUUGCACAAUGGGGGGAACCCUGAUGCAGCGACGCCGCGUGGGUGAAGGAGUAUUUCGGUAUGUAAAGCCCUAUCGGCAGGGAAGAAGCAAGACGGUACCUGACUAAGAAGCCCCGGCUAACUACGUGCCAGCAGCCGCGGUAAUACGUAGGGGGCGAGCGUUAUCCGGAUUCACUGGGUGUAAAGGGAGCGUAGACGGCGACGCAAGUCUGGAGUGAAAGCCCGGGGCCCAACCCCGGGACUGCUCUGGAAACUGCGGCGCUGGAGUACGGGAGGGGCAGGCGGAAUUCCUGGUGUAGCGGUGAAAUGCGUAGAUAUCAGGAGGAACACCGGUGGCGAAGGCGGCCUGCUGGACUGCGACUGACGUUGAGGCCCGAAAGCGUGGGGAGCAGACAGGAUUAGAUACCCUAGUA
rnacentral:rRNA from 1 species